UACGUAGGUGGCAAGCGUUACUCGGAAUCACUAGGCGUAAAGCGCGCGCAGGCGGCCUCGCGCGCCCGACGUGAAAGCCCCCGGCUUAACCGGGGAGGGUCGUUGGGGACGGCGGGGCUUGAGGGCGGGAGAGGGUGGUGGAAUUCCCGGUGUAGUGGUGAAAUGCGUAGAGAUCGGGAGGAACACCCGUGGCGAAGGCGGCCACCUGGGCCGACCCUGACGCUGAGGCGCGAAGGCGUGGGGAGCGAACGGG
rnacentral:rRNA from 1 species